rnacentral:rRNA from 1 species
ACCUUAUCAUUUAGAGGAAGGAGAAGUCGUAACAAGGUUUCCGUAGGUGAACCUGCGGAAGGAUCAUUGUUGAGACACGAGGACAGAUGAUGGGAACUUGUAAAAGAUUAUAUGAGACAUCCUUCCAACAAAGACUCCAAAUUAGGAGUGCGUUCCCCUGGAUUGUACUAUUUGUUCGAUGGAUGCAUAUGUGCUUCCCCCACAUCUUUGAUGGUUGUGGGGGCGGGCGAACAACUAAGGGCACGGAAUGUGUCAAGGAUAUAAAUUGCUCAUCACAAUAUGGCUUUGAUUUAGGGCAUUUGCUCAGAAUCCUAAGCAUAUGUGUGUGGCAUAUUGUAAUAAAGAUAUGACUCUCGGCAACGGAUAUCUAGGCUCUUGCAUCGAUGAAGAACGUAGCGAAAUGCGAUACUUGGUGUGAAUUGCAGAAUCCCGUGAACCAUCGAGUCUUUGAACGCAAGUUGCGCCCGAGAUCUUUUGGUUGCGGGCACGCCUGCCUGGGCGUCACACCUUAUGUUGCUCCAUCCAAUCAGUCCAUGUGGCGUAUUAGAUGGAAGCGAAUAUUGGUUCACCGUGUCUCUAGUCGUGGUGAGCUGAAGUAUGAGAUGCCGAUGGAUUGUGCGAGCACACGACACGUGGUGGACUGUAGUAUAUUUUUGAUGUUCAGUGUCGUUCUCUCACUGGCGGCAUAUGCUCGCACCAAGCGUGUUAAAAGGACACCCUUUAUAAAGCAAGCGUGGGUUUCUCCCUUGUAUGUAUUGUGACCCCAGGUCAGACGGGAAUACCCGCUGAGUUUAAGCAUAC